rnacentral:misc_RNA from 2 species
AAGUCGUAACAAGGUUUCCGUAGGUGAACCUGCGGAAGGAUCAUUACCUUUCAAUGCAGCAGAAUUGUGAUGGUUGAGUAUCUCGCCUUUCAGUUCUGCUUGUAUUCUACCCUUGUUUGUCAUAUACAUUAUUUCCUCGGCAGGCUUGCCUGCCGAGUGAAACCAAUUAUAACCUAUUUAAUUUUCAAUCAGCGUCUGAAAAUAAUUAAUAAUUACAACUUUCAACAACGGAUCUCUUGGUUCUG